CCUACGGGAGGCAGCAGUGAGGAAUAUUGGACAAUGGGCGCAAGCCUGAUCCAGCCAUGCCGCGUGCAGGAAGAAGCAUCUAUGGUGUGUAAACUGCUUUUGUACAGGAAGAAACACUCCCUCGUGAGGGAGCUUGACGGUACUGUAAGAAUAAGGACCGGCUAACUCCGUGCCAGCAGCCGCGGUAAUACGGAGGGUCCGAGCGUUAUCCGGAAUCAUUGGGUUUAAAGGGUCCGUAGGCGGUUUAAUAAGUCAGUGGUGAAAUCUGGUCGCUCAACGAUCAAACGGCCAUUGAUACUGUUAGACUUGAAUUAUAAGGAAGUAACUAGAAUAUGUAGUGUAGCGGUGAAAUGCUUAGAUAUUACAUGGAAUACCAAUUGCGAAGGCAGGUUACUACUUAUGGAUUGACGCUGAUGGACGAAAGCGUGGGGAGCGAACAGGAUUAGAUACCCUGGUAGUCACGCCGUAAACGAUGGAUACUAGCUGUUCGGAGCAAUCUGAGUGGCUAAGCGAAAGUGAUAAGUAUCCCACCUGGGGAGUACGUUCGCAGAAUGAAACUCAAAUGAAUUGACCGGNNGAGAGAGCGAGACGACGACGAGGGAGAGG
rnacentral:rRNA from 1 species